UCUAAGCGAAUGCUUAGCACUUACACCCAACCAUAUGCCAUGCCCAAAGAAACCUGACUUGGAAUUAAAAUCACUACCAAAGAACCUAAGAUAUGAAUUCCUAGACACUGAACUGAAAAGACCAGUAAUAGUCAACGCUGACUUGGGACAGAUGGAAACUGAGAAAUUACUAGAUUUCCUAAGAAAAUAUCCAACUACGUUAGGAUAUAAC
rnacentral:lncRNA from 1 species